GUGGGUAAUUUAAUCAGCAGGCGUUUACCCUUAUGCUGUGCUUGUGAUGAUGAGUGAGUUCUCAGAAGGUCUGAUGGUUUUAUAUGGGGCUUUUCCCCUCUUGCACUUUCUUCUCUCUCCUGCCACGAUGUGAUGAAGGACAUAUUUGCUUCCCCUUCCACCUUGAUUGUGUUUCCUGAGGCCUCCGCAGCCUUGCAGAAUGUGUUUUUUAGAUCCUGAAUCCCAGUGGAACAGCUGUCAUCAAGUGGUCUGAAGACCCCCACCAAGGAACCAAUUCAGCAGAAGAAUGCAGUUUUCUUCAUCUCUCUGUCCCAUGACUUCACCCUUUACUUUUCAAUCAAUCAGUGAUCCCCACACUUUAGCCCAUCACCCAUCCAGACCGCUUAAAAAAUCCAUCACCAGAUGUCUCAGGGAGGCACAUUUGAGGUUUCUUCUUGUCUCCUCCUUCAGCUGCUCUUUGAUUAUUAAACUCUUUCUGUGUGGCAACCCCUAGUGUCUCAGGAUAUUGAAUCACUCUGCAUUGGGCAAUGAACUUACGGUUACAAGACUGCUCCCCACAUCAGACAUGGUUGCAAAUAGUGUAUCCCCAGAUUACCCACACUUCUGUCUGACUUUAAUACAUAUUGGGAAUUCCCCAAAAACUCUUCCUCAGUUUUAGAUAUUUUGCUAUAAUAGCUCACAGAACUCAGG
rnacentral:lncRNA from 1 species